AGAAGACUGAAGCUUGUAUACUAUUUUUACUUUGGCACUAUUAAGGUAAGUUUUUCAUAGUUACAACAUGAAAAGAAGGUAGGAAGAGGCCAUUUUGCCUAUACAGAGCUAUACAGAGCACCAGUUCAAACAGAAGCUCCCCCCACCCCUUCACCCCCUCCGAGAGGGGAAAACAUAAAGCGAAAGCCAAGAAAAGCUUCACUGUGUGUUAUCCGGUAAGGAGACAGAUUGCGAGGAUGUGAUUUACUGAGCUUGUCCUAAAUACAUGUAUCAUAUGUACACUUGAUCUGAGCCAAAAGGCUGAGGAAGAUAUUAUGUACACCUCUCUGAGUUUUGACAUUGUGUAA
rnacentral:misc_RNA from 1 species